UACGAAGGGGGCUAGCGUUGUUCGGAAUUACUGGGCGUAAAGCGCACGUAGGCGGAUAUUUAAGUCGGGGGGUGAAAUCCCGGGGCUCAACCCCGGAACUGCCUUCGAUACUGGGUAUCUUGAGUUCGGAAGAGGCGAGUGGAAUUCCUGGUGUAGCGGUGGAAUGCGCAGAUAUCAGGAGGAACACCGGUGGCGAAGGCGCCACUCUGGGCCGAAACUGACGCUGAGGAGCGAAAGCGUGGGUAGCAAACAGG
rnacentral:rRNA from 1 species